GUACACUCCUACGGGAGGCAGCAGUGGGGAAUAUUGCACAAUGGGCGCAAGCCUGAUGCAGCCAUGCCGCGUGUAUGAAGAAGGCCUUCGGGUUGUAAAGUACUUUCAGCGGGGAGGAAGGCGAUAAGGUUAAUAACCUUGUCGAUUGACGUUACCCGCAGAAGAAGCACCGGCUAACUCCGUGCCAGCAGCCGCGGUAAUACGGAGGGUGCAAGCGUUAAUCGGAAUUACUGGGCGUAAAGCGCACGCAGGCGGUCUGUCAAGUCGGAUGUGAAAUCCCCGGGCUCAACCUGGGAACUGCAUUCGAAACUGGCAGGCUAGAGUCUUGUAGAGGGGGGUAGAAUUCCAGGUGUAGCGGUGAAAUGCGUAGAGAUCUGGAGGAAUACCGGUGGCGAAGGCGGCCCCCUGGACAAAGACUGACGCUCAGGUGCGAAAGCGUGGGGAGCAAACAGGAUUAGAUACCCGAGUAGUCCCAUGAU
rnacentral:rRNA from 1 species